ensembl:lncRNA
GGAGAGGCAGCAGCUCCAUAUUAAUGGGUUCCUUAAAGAGCAGCCUGGCACAGGUGGGAAAGUGUCAGUACAUCUAAUUGUUGCUCAUAGGUAAACAGCUCCAGAUCUCUGAUGAACCUUUCUACCCUUUCCUGAAACUCUUCUAUUCCAAGACCAACUUUUUGAGAUGAUAGCACUGAUGUGCAAGCACGCCACAAGUUCUACAAUGGGUUGUAGCUGUCAGAGUUAUGUAAUAAAGCUUAAUUUAAUCGCAUUGAAGAAGAACAAGGCUAUGAACUCCACCAAUUACCAGCUAUUCCUUUGACGUUCUGUUCCAUAAGUGAAGUUGAAGGGAAGAAAUUCAGUCCCCUCCUUCUGUCUGACUCAUCAUGGUGGAGAAGUUCUGACACCAGAGUCCAGCCCCCCGGAAACGAAGCGCUGUCGCAGAUGCAGUCUGCCUUUAAAAGAAUGGCUUUGAAAACAAAACAGAAGGAACCAUUUUAUUGUUACACAAAACUUCAGUACACUCACUUAUCAGCUGAGAAGCUCUGGUCUUGGCCUCUUCAGAAGACAGCGGUGAAGACAAAAAGAGAAGCAAAACAAAUUUUGUGAUUAAACAAACCAUUUUGAGGGAAGCCUGACCCACAUGAGUGUAAAGCAGUGAUUGCCUCUAUGUAUUGAAGGAGAUGCACAAAUGUAGCCACAGCAUGUGAGGAGCAGCUACCAGAAGUGGGGCCAUUAAUGGGACAGCCGAGAUGAAAAGGGGGAGCUGAGCUGAAAAGCCUCAUUAAGUGUGGUGUCUUAUGACCAAAGAAGCAGAAGUUGAGACAAGUUACUUCCAGUGUGGGUUGGCAGAACUGAGAGGAAGCAGAAUUUCUGUGGUGGCAGCACUCAGAAUUAUUAUGGAUGUGGUUACAGUGCUGGAGGAGCACUGUGAAAUUCCAGCUUUGGAGUAACAAAGACUAUGGGACAAGAUCAGCAUCUCUGGCAUAACUGGCCGUGGAGGGCUAGUUCUGGGAGGACAGGAUGAAGAUUCUUCAUGGCCAUUUGGUCUCCCUGACAGAAUUUGUCACCUGUACAAAUGCAGAGAUGGAAGCAAGAAAAAAAAAACAACUCCGAAGUUGUAAUACAAGCUGGAAACAAUUCAAAUUUGAUCUCAUACUGCCCUACGCCUUUCCUUCAAUUGGCAGCAUGUGUACUGGAAGUCUUCUUCAGGCUGAACAGCCCAAGGUCUCUAAGCCUUUCCUUGUAAUGGAGGUGCUCCAGGCUCCUCAUCAUCUUUGUGGCCCUCUGUUGGACUCCCUCCAGAAGUUCCCUGCAAUUUUUUUCACCAAGGAGCACGGAACAGACACAGUCUCCACUGUGGUAUCCUCAGGACGGAGUAGAGAGGAAGGAUCACCUCCCUCAACUAUCUGGUCUUGCUCUUUCUAAUGCACCCCAGGUUAUCCUUGGUUUUCUUGGCCACAAGUGCACAUUGCUGACUCAUAGCCAACCUGUUGUCCACCAGGACACCCAAGUCCUCCUCUGCAGAACUUCUUUCCAGCAGGUCAGCUCCCUAACCUACACCAAUGCUUGUAGUUAUUCCUCUCCAGGUUCAAGACACUACACUUGCCCUUGUU